rnacentral:rRNA from 1 species
UACAGAGGGGGGCAAGCGUUGUCCGGAAUCAUUGGGCGUAAAGCGCGUGUAGGCGGUUACGUAAGUCUGCUGUGAAAGUCGGAGGCUCAACCUUCGAAAGCCGGUGGAUACUGCGUGACUAGAGUACGGAAGAGGAGAGUGGAAUUCCUGGUGUAGCGGUGAAAUGCGCAGAUAUCAGGAGGAACACCAACGGCGAAGGCAGCUCUCUGGGACGUUACUGACGCUGAGACGCGAAAGCGUGGGGAGCAAACAGG